UGGGGAAUAUUGGACAAUGGGGGAAACCCUGAUCCAGCGACGCCGCGUGUGUGAAGAAGGCCUGCGGGUUGUAAAGCACUUUUAGUGGGGACAAAAAGCCACGGAUUAAUACUUCAUGGUCUUGAUUUAACCCAAAGAAAAAGCACCGGCUAACUCUGUGCCAGCAGCCGCGGUACUACAGAGGGUGCGAGCGUUAAUCGGAAUUACUGGGCGUAAAGCGCGCGUAGACGGUUUUGUAAGUCAGAUGUGAAAUCCCUGGGCUCAACCUGGGAACUGCAUUUGAAACUGCAUGGCUAGAGUAUGGUAGAGGGAAGUGGAAUUUCCGGUGUAGCGGUGAAAUGCGUAGAUAUCGGAAGGAACACCAGUGGCGAAAGCGACUUCCUGGACCAAUACUGACGUUCAUGUGCGAAAGCGUGGGGAGCAAACAGGAUUAGAUACCCUGGUAGUCCACGCCAUAAACGAUGACAACUAGAUGUUGGGAGGGUCUGCCUCUCGGUGUCGCAGCUAACGCGUUAAGUUGUCCGCCUGGGGAGUACGGUCGCAAGGCUG
rnacentral:rRNA from 1 species